AAUUGAGUUUGGGAAAGAGCAUUUAGGCAUAGUUUUUCAUUCAAGUAUGUGUACUUGUAUCCUAGUCUACUCCUAUAGUGUUGUUCUCUACUCUUUCUUGUUUGAAUUUCAUAGGGUGUCCAGCUACAGUCAAUUUCUUGCAGCUUAGAGUUACUCUCUUUGAAGCACUUAGGAAGAAGAUACAGAUGGAUGAUAUUUUAGGGUAGCCUUGUCACAUUAUGGCAAUUGGGGAAUAGUUCUUUAUUCACGGAAUCCAGUAAAAUGUGGGCCAGUGUGGAGGUUUUUUUACGAGAAACCUCUAUAUACGCUACCCUAGCAGCUGACUUAUAGAAGAAAUAUGAUCAUACUACAGGUCUUAGUUCAAGUUGCUUAUUAUCCCUCAUUUUUGGCUUAUCAUUACUACAUCAUGUUAAGAGUAGAGAAGGAAGAAUAUGGUGCCAAAAGUUCAUCUAAUAUUCUAAUUGACUAACGAGUCCUGCUAUAAAGUGUUUUGUGCUGUAAAUAUGUUAUUUUGUCAUAAAAGUAGCCAUGCAUCAUGGUAUUCAAAAUCAGGGGAAUAAAGAAAUACUUGCACAAAAUGGACGAUUAAUGACUAGAGAAAUCCAAUCUUAGAUGCAAUUCUGAGUUAUAGCCAAUGUUUUAUUUCCUUAUGAAUUAUAUACACAACUUCUAGCAUUGGUAUCAAUCAUAGCCAUGCUUAAGUUGGUGUAGAGCCAUAGAGGAUGAUUGUACCAAUUCUCCCAAAUUAACGACUUGGCAUAUAUUUGAGAUUCAAGAAAUCUUAUUGCUGAUG
rnacentral:misc_RNA from 1 species